CAAGACUGUUAACACUGCCUGGCUUUAUUCCACUUGGGAAUUACCAGCAGGGAAGUCUGCUGUACAUUUAAAAGCUGCUGUCAAGAUCAAGAUUCAUGGUUUUCCCCAUGGCUGCACAGGAAAACAUUAUAUUUUUCAUCAUCUGAUAAAGCUCGUUAAGAUGUUGUCUGCAGCA